UCUUGACAGUCUACUUCAGCGCAGACCCCUCAGAUCCACAAAAGGCCUCCAAUCAUUGAGAACUGUGGGCAGGAACAGACAUCUGGGGAUGGACGGGACAUGAAUUCAGAGCCUCUCAGCCAGUCUGGAAGGGUGACUCGGCUGAUGGAGAGAAAUUAUGAUGGGGUGAUCUCAUCCUCCAACUCUGAUGACAUCUCUAUCUACUCCUUCACUGACUGUGAAUCUGAGAGCCCAGGGAAAGUCUCUGGUCCUGUGUCUGGCCUCUCUCCUCUUGUGACCUCAGCACCCCGGACCCUGGCUGAAGCCCUACAAGCCCUGCCCUCUGCUGUGGCCCGUCCCUCCCAAAAGGAUGUCCCAAAGCUUCCGACACCUCCAAGCCCUGUCUCUGUCAUUGUUGCUUCGCCUGCUGUGGAGUACUUACCAUACCACCACAGCCCUCGCCUGGCCCCAAUCACCAACCUGAGUGAGAACGGCAGGAAGCUGCUCCAGAAAAUGUCAGGAGUGACGCCACAGGUUUCUCCUGUGGCUGCUGCCCAAACUGAGAUGUUCGAAGAAAUAAUGGCCAACUACUACUACAACACACACACACACACACACAUACUAUUGAUAUUGAUCUCAUUGUUAUAUUUUGAGACAUGCACCAUUCUUAAAAAAAUAAAAAAAGACCCAAUAAUUAUAUUGGUUGCCAUACAGCCUACUAGGGUAGUGUAUGAUAAUGGGUUGGAUUUACAUAGCGUGUAGUUAUCAGGCUUGGAAAUAUAGCCAGGAGAUGCUGGGUCAACACCCCUACUCAUGUCAUAAGUGCCAUGAGAUCAAAUCAAAUCAAAUUGUAUUUGUCACAUACACAUGGUUAGCAGAUGUUAGUGCCGACAAUGCAGUAAUAACCAACAAGUAAUCUAGCUAACAAUUCCAAAACUACUACCUUAUAGACACAAGUGUGAGGGGAUAAAGAACAUGUACAUAAAGAUAUAUGAAUGAGUGAUGGUACAGAGCGGCAUAGGCAAGAUACAGUAGAUGGUAUUGAGUGCAGUAUAUACAUAUGAGAUGAGUAUGUAAACAAAGUGGCAUAGUUAAAGUGGUAACGAUGCUUCGU